CACACACACACACACACACUUAGCAGGCGGAGGCGGGGCCUGAGGGAUUAGAGGGAUAGAGUGACUGUCAAUAAGAAGAGAUUAGAAUCCGGGCAGGACGUGUGCACACUGGGGUCUUCAGAUAGUACACUCAACAUCUGCGGCUCCUCCUCGGUCCGGCCCUCAGGUUUUGUAACACUCAAGAAGUACAUGAAAGAGGCCUCUUUCAUCAAGUAUUCUUAAGUUAUGAAAAUGGAAUUGAAGCAUAUUUUCCCCCUUUGUAUGAGAGAGAACUUACGUGAAAUCAAGUAUUCGCGAUUUUUCAGAACUGCAUAUGGAGAAGUUGCUGAAAUUCAAUCUUGCUUCCAGAUAAAGUCAGCACAGCAUUACCCAGUUAUUACGUAGCAUUUCCAUGCAAACUAAUAAAUAGUAUUUCAACUUAAAAUUUCGGUUUUUAAUCUAGAUGUAACUUAAAAACUCUUACAAGUAAAAACUCUUAGAAGUAAGCAUUCUUGUCCAUCAGAAGUUUGUACAGAAAAAGCAAAUUCAAAGGGACAAAUAUGGGCAGUGCCUUCCAGCACUGACAGGGGGAAAAGAUCCUGGCUCAAGAACACAGGUCUCUAGGCAAUGAAGCAAGUGUAUCCCUCAAGAGAGAAGAAUGCAUUAAGUUGUCAUGGCUUUGAAACAUCAGCCAUUUACACCUCCCAACUUAUUCCCCUGGUUCUGAACCCAGAUUCACUUGGUAACCAUUCCAUUGCUUAUAAUUCUUCUUUGCAUAUACUUGUAUCUGUAUCUACAUCUAUACCUACAGGGACAAAAUACAGCAGUCAAUAUAACUCAUUA
rnacentral:lncRNA from 1 species